rnacentral:tRNA from 1 species
GCUUAGUCGGUAGAGCAUCCGCUUAGUAAGCGGAAGGUCGCCGGUUCGAUUCCGGC